GAGAGUGUGGUGUAGUGGUUUGAGUGGUGGAUUAUGAUUCUGGAGAUCAGGGUUCGAUUUCCUGCUCAGCCA